AUGUUACCUCACGGCGGUGGCAGUGUUGUUAGGUCUUUGGCACCGCUGCUCGUUUGCUUCCUCGUGCUCGGCGCGGCCGACCUCGACGAAUCCGGUGCGGACAAACCAGGAGAAGCGGAAGAAGCGGCGGACAGAUCGAAAGUCGAGCCGACGGCGUCGCUCGAGAUCCAGUCGUCGCAGGAUAUCGAGGGUAUUGAAGCGGGCAGCACGCCGUCGCUGCUAUGCAAGCUCGACGUGCCGGGUCAGGUCUGGUGGAGCACCGGCGGCAGAAAUCUCACCACCAUCAAGGAUUUCGAGUACGGCGGCCGGCUCGACAUCAAAAAAGCGAGCAGAAACGACACCGGCGACUACAAGUGCUCCGCGCAGACCGCCGACGGCGAAUCGCUCGAGAAAAACAUUCAUAUCAGAGUGAUAGAACCCGGCAAAAUAAUGUCAGGCGGCGAUGUGAGAGCGAAAGUGAUGGAAGCGGCCAACUUGACUUGUCACAUACACGGUUAUCCGUUAUCCAACUUCACUUGGUUAAAAGGGAAUGAUUCAGAGAGCAGCGAGCACUUGAACGAUCUCACUGCCGUAGCGCAGAUAAACGAGACUUAUUCUGUUUUAAUCCUGGAAUUCAAGAGUCUCGCGCGCAAAGACAACGGCACUUACGCGUGCCAGGCGAGGGACUACAACGGGAUAAUUAGCGCCGUCGCGCACUUAUUUGUCAUUGACGUGCCGAAAGUUAGCAUAGACUUUAUGAAGGCCGUAGGCGCGGGAAGUAUAUUUCUAAAUUGGACUGUCAACGAUGGUAAUGAACCGAUCAAGAAGUACUUCAUCCAGCACAUGAAAAAGGGCACGGAUCAACGUCAGUACUACGCUGAGCAAAUCGGCGGCGGUAAUUCGAGUUAUGUUCUCAAAGGAUUUGAAAGCGGCACCGCGUAUCAAAUUGGGAUCAGUGCCACCAAUGCCGUGGGCACAUCCUACAUGCAAUUAGAUCCACGGUGGAUCACCACGCUUGACAAAGAUCCGGUGUUUGUGCCAAAAGUGUCUGUGAACGGCGUGACGGAGAAUUCGAUUACAAUAGGCUGGACAGUGCCACCGCCGGAUUUGAAAGAACAUGUGCACUAUUACAAUCUGAUGGCUACCCACGCUGAUCAGAAGAGAGAAGCGGUGUAUCCCGCCCAACCAUUCACCGUGUACGCGUUUGUGGAUCUCGAUCCAGCGACCACUUACAAAUUCAGGAUAGCAGCUUGCAGCGAAUACACAAAGCAGUGCGGCAAUUGGAGCGCCGAAGUAAAUGGCACCACGCUAGACGGAGUGGCUAGUCCUCCGAAGAAUCUCGCCGUUAUUUGUAGCUACGAUAAUAUAAGCAGCUCUAGCUUUAUAUCCAUUACGUGGAAACCGCCCGAGAAACCGAACGGCAUUAUACAACGUUAUAACAUACAAUUAAGCGGCACGACUAGAUUCAAAAAUGAUAUGGGACAAGUGGUUGACGACAACUUUAAUCUAUCCAGUUUGAGCGUUUUCAACAAGAACAACACGCGAUACAAUCGGAUACCUCCCAAUACAAAUUAUACUGUUCGAGUGCACGGAGUGACAAGAUCUCGCACUCCCGGUAAAAACGCCGUUGGCAACUGCACAACGCCGGUUACGGUUCCGGAGCGUGAGAGCUUGAACAUGCGUAACUGGCGUAAGAUCGAGAACCAAGGCAGGCAGUUGUUCAAGCUCUAUCUGCCCCGCAUCUCCGAGCGAAAUGGUCCUAUCUGUUGUUACCGCGUCUACUUGGUGAAACUGCCGCCACACAAGACUGUCAGCGAUUUGCCGUCACCUGAGGAAAUCGCGGUGUACUCCUAUCAAUACGUACACAGCUCACCUACCGGCGGUGCUUACAUGGCCGAGACGUUUGACAGCGAUCGGUUAUUAAGCGAGGUCUUUCUCGGCGACGGCGAGUCGUCCACCGGUGGCGCGAUGUGCGACAAGUGUGUCGGUCUGCGACCAAAACCGGCGCCCCCGCUGUUGCAUUUUGUCCCGGAAAUUCCAUCGACCACUGCUUCUACUUCGACUACUGCAAGUAACGUCACUGUCACAACCACGUCGACAUCAACAACGAUGAUGACUAGCAGUAGCAGCAGCAGCAGUACAACCACAAGCUCGUCUACGUCGUCAACAACAAUUACUACCAGCACUAUUUCAAAAAUAGACACGACUACGGCUGUGCCACUCGUUAAUAUCUCAGAGAAAGCAGAGAGACGGAAAAGAGAAGAUUCGCCUGUGCAAAGGGCGUCUAUAGAUGGUUCCGGCGAAGCGAGUUUGUUAUUAUCUUACGACGGCUUUCUCGAUGAGACGUCAAACUAUACUGGUUUUAUCGAGGUUAUCGUGUUUGACGAUCGAAGAGAUCAGCUUUUACCGGCUUAUAGCAGUUAUCUUAAUCCUCUAUACGGAGGAGUGGACCCUCUCAGUGUAACAGCCACAGAAGCAACUACUGUCAGAGAAGUGAUAAUACAAUUAUUCAUCGCUCUGAUUUUAACUCUCAUGGUUCUGUUUAUCGCGCUCUGCGUAUUGUAUAGAUAUACAAAACGUGCGCAAGAGAGAGAGGAAGUCAUAACGUUGCGCAAUAGUUUUAGGCAUCUCUGUAGAAGUUUGAGAGGUAGACAUCAGCUCGUGGCGGCGAGUCCACCCGAUAUGCCACCCAUACCGAAGAACGAAUUGCUGCAGGCGUAUUUGGAACGACAUCGGGAUUCAGAUUACGGUUUUCAGCACGAAUUUGAGCUGUUGCCCGACCGAUUCACGGACAGAACGACGCGCGCAUCCGAGGCGCAGGAAAAUCUCUAUAAAAAUCGUUACCCGGACAUCAAGUGUUACGAUCAGACGAGAGUGCGUCUGGCGCAGAUAGACGGUAUUUGCGGCUCCGACUACAUCAACGCUAACUUCGUGCUGGGUUAUAAAGAGCGCAAGAAGUUCAUUUGCGCCCAGGGUCCCAUGGAGAAUACCGUGUGCGAUUACUGGCGUAUGAUCUGGGAGCAGCAUCUCGAACUGAUACUCAUGCUGACGAAUCUCGAGGAAUACUCGAAAACCAAGUGCGCCAAAUACUGGCCGGAUAAGCACGAGACCAAGAACUUCGGAGAUAUCACGGUUGAGCAUGUCAAGGAGCGCGCCUAUUCGGAUUACGUGGUACGCGAGCUGAAGAUGACGCGAUUGGGGGAACGUGACUCUCGCACAAUCGUUCAAUACCACUUCCUCGUAUGGAAGGACUUCGUCGCGCCGGAACAUCCGCACGCAAUUCUACGUUUCAUCAAGCGCGUGAACGAGGCGUACUCGCUGGAGAAAGGACCGAUUUUGGUGCACUGUAGCGCGGGCGUAGGCCGCACCGGUACCCUCGUGGCGCUAGACUCUCUGCUUCAGCAAUUGGCUGAGGAAGGCCAAGUGUCUAUCUUCAAUACCGUGUGCGACCUGCGGCAUCAGCGUAACUUCCUCGUGCAAUCUCUCAAGCAGUACAUUUUUAUCUAUCGCGCGCUCAUGGAGAUGGCGCAGUACGGCGAUACGGAAAUCACGGCGUCGCAACUUAAAGCAACCGUUGCCAGACUCAGGCAGCGAGAUAACGGCAAGGAGAAGUGCAGAAUGGAGGAGGAGUACGAUAAAAUCAGUUCUGUAUUGGAAGAUCGGAAAUCUUUUUCUGUCGGUGGCGGAGAAGAGAACAAAUCGAAGAACAGGAGCGAGCUGGUGAUACCGUACGACAGAAAUCGCGUGAUACUAACUCCGGUUCCGGGGAGGGAACACUCGACGUAUAUAAACGCGUCGUUUAUCGAAGGUUACGACAAUUCCGAAUCGUUUGUCAUUACACAAGAUCCGUUGGAAACCACCAUAACGGAUUUCUGGCGAAUGAUCUCGGAACAGUGCAUUUCCACGAUAGUUAUGUUAUCCGACUUAAAUGAAGGCCCACGGAAAUGUCCACGAUAUUGGCCCGACGACGAGACUGAUUACGAUCACAUAAAGGUCCGUUACAUUCAUAGCGAGAGCUGUCCGUAUUACACGCGUCGCGAGUUCUGCAUUUUGAACACGAAGACUGACGAGAGCGGGGUCGUGAAGCAAUAUCAGUAUCAUGGCUGGCCAACGGUGGAGGGCGAAGUACCUGAAGUGACGCGCGGUCUCAUCGAACUGGUGGAUCAAACGAACGAUCCCGACACGAGCGGCUCGUUGGUUGUGCAUUGCAGCUACGGAUCGGAUCGAAGUUCGAUGUUCGUGGCACUUAGUAUACUAGUCCAACAGCUACGCACCGAGAAGCGCGUAGACAUCUUCACAACGACGAAGAAACUGCGCUCGCAGCGACACGGCAUGAUCAGUACCUUUGCACAAUACGAGUUUCUUCAUCGUGCCAUCGUGAAUUAUUCGGAUCUUCACAACUUGGCCGACGAUGAACCAGUGUCAUAAUGUCUGAAAACUAGCGAAAGCGAGAUUAAAUUGUUCUAAAUACUCUGUUUGGGCAGACAUGUGCGUGAAGAUGUUCCUCGUGAGACGUAAUCGAGGAUCCACGAACAGACGUACAUCGCCCCAACCAAAGAAGAAAUUAAACAUCGAUGACAGAUCAUUAAUAUCUCAUCAUCAUCAUCAUCCAUUAUUAUCAUCAAGAUACAGACGCACAAUGCGCACUUUGCUGCAUCUCGCGCGAAGACUACUUUGUACAUAUAAUAUAAUGGCAGAUUUUACACACACACACACACACACAAUUGAUCGUGAGUUGAUAAGAGAAGCAUUUGAUCGAAGAAUUAACUGGCCAAAUUCAACGCAGUUUUUAUCUUGUGGAUAGAUCCGAGUUGGUGAGAAUCUGAGAAGUGCAGUGCGUGACCGCACGUCACGUGACUGUUGCAGAAGCUUAUUUUUUAUCGGUAGUCUAAUGCUCCAGCCGAGAGAGUAAUGUAUUCGGAGUGCGUCGCGAAGUUUUUUGUGAUCGAGAUCCGGACAGAGAAAGAGAGAUAGAGAAAGAAAGAGACGGAUUUCUUAUCGGAAUUCUCGGUAUGGCUGUACAGCGAAGAACUAUCGCAGGAUGGAACCGGUGUUCUUGUGUAGAUGAAAUUAUGCGAGGAUGCGAAUAACGUGGAACAGAGCACUUCUUCUCUUUUUCUCGCUGUUGUCACAUUCUGACUGAUGUGAAAAUAUUUCGAAUCGGCAAAAUUUUACCGAUAAAAUAUCAUCAAUUACAUUAAGAAACGUACAAUUACUUUGAAAACAAGUAAACAGUGAUUUAAAAAUAUUCAACAAUAUUAUGCUUGUUAUGAACCAAGAAAAAAUCUUUUACAAAUAAGAUAAACAAACUUCAUUUCGUUUUCUAACAUUUCUCUCGAAACAAAAAAAAAACAUUGUUAUAAUUCGUACAAGAAAUUUGCGCUAUGUUAUUAAAUAAUAAUUGAAUAAUCGAUUAAUCACUAAUUUCUUUUAACUAAUAAAGAUUCGGAAUAUUCUCUUGUGCGAGUGAUAACUCAAGAAAGAGAUUUAUACAUUUAAAGGUGCACGUGCGCCAAUUAUGUAAUCGGCUGGAACGUGUUGCGCGAAUGACAGAGGAGCGUGCACUGUGAAAGGACGUGUGCGUGACGUGUGUUACGUGUUUAAUACAGAUCCCUAAAAAGAAAUUUUAAACAAAGGAGAGACGGCGGGCAAAUCUAUUUAAAUGACAAACACAAAGUCAAUAUUUGAUGUGAUGAAACAACGGAGAAUGUUACAUUGAUGUCAAAUUUGUUUUGAAAGCAAUGGCGCAAUUUACCGAUUUGUAAUUUUUUAUUGUAUAUAUAAUAGAAAUUUAAUUUGCAUCGAUGUAAUCCUCUAAUAUAAUUGGUAAUUUAAUUUAAAUGUUCCUCUCUAUUAUUUGUAUUCCGAGGAUAUGGAAAUGUAUUGAAUCUCGAUUCGAAAAUUAGCUCGUAUAUAACUCUGUUAAUCAAGUGAUUACGCAAAAGUCACAUAUGUCACCGCCGUCUCUGCGUUAACCGAACGACUAUUCGGUAAGGUCUCGAAUUUUGUAAAUUUAACGAUUUAAGAUAGCACACACAGAAAACAUACCGCCGCGUAUUGCAUUAAAAAAAAUUACGUUCGUAACAUGAUAACAAGAUCUACUUGUAAGAGACAUUUGCAUAUAUAGUCUUAGAUUUUGUAUGAUAUUCUCACACAAAGAAGAUGACGGCAAGAGGUGGGAUUCACGCUGAAAGAUCUCUAAUAUCUGUGAGAGAUAUAUUAAGUGUACUGAUAAAAAGAAAGAGGGCAAUCGAGUAAAAAAUUUUAACGUGUACAUGCCGGAUGAUUGGAAGAACACCAGGCGCACGGCGCUCGCUAUGAUAUAAUAUGAUAAAGCGCGUUCGCGAGUUUCGCUAUCGAGGAAGUUUCUUUCCUCGAAAGCAAAACUCACGGAAGUGCGCAACCGAGUCUGCGACAGCUCAUCAUCGAAUCAAUUCUUUUUUGUAUGAAACAAUUGUAAAGCGAUAACACACAGUGCACUCGAUGUGGAAAGGAAAUACAUGACACAAUAACAA